ACGUACACUCCUGCGGGAGGCAGCAGUGGGGAAUAUUGCACAAUGGGCGCAAGCCUGAUGCAGCCAUGCCGCGUGUAUGAAGAAGGCCUUCGGGUUGUAAAGUACUUUCAGCGGGGAGGAAGGCGAUAAGGUUAAUAACCUUGUCGAUUGACGUUACCCGCAGAAGAAGCACCGGCUAACUCCGUGCCAGCAGCCGCGGUAAUACGGAGGGUGCAAGCGUUAAUCGGAAUUACUGGGCGUAAAGCGCACGCAGGCGGUCUGUCAAGUCGGAUGUGAAAUCCCCGGGCUCAACCUGGGAACUGCAUUCGAAACUGGCAGGCUAGAGUCUUGUAGAGGGGGGUAGAAUUCCAGGUGUAGCGGUGAAAUGCGUAGAGAUCUGGAGGAAUACCGGUGGCGAAGGCGGCCCCCUGGACAAAGACUGACGCUCAGGUGCGAAAGCGUGGGGAGCAAACAGGAUUAGAAACCCUAGUAGUCCCAUG
rnacentral:rRNA from 1 species